UACGUAGGGUGCAAGCGUUGUCCGGAAUUAUUGGGCGUAAAGAGCUCGUAGGCGGUUUGUCGCGUCUGCUGUGAAAACCCCGAGGCUCAACCUCGGGCCUGUAGUGGGGUACGGGCAGACUAGAGUGCGGUAGGGGAGAUUGGAAUUCCUGGUGUAGCGGUGGAAUGCGCAGAUAUCAGGAGGAACACCAAGUGGCGAAGGCAGAUCUCUGGGCCGUAACUGACGCUGGAGGAGCGAAAGCCAUGGGGAGCGAACAGG
rnacentral:rRNA from 1 species